rnacentral:rRNA from 1 species
CCUACGGGCGGCAGCAGUGAGGAAUAUUGGUCAAUGGGCGCAAGCCUGAACCAGCCAAGUCGCGUGAGGGAUGACGGUCCUAUGGAUUGUAAACCUCUUUUGUCGGGGAGCAAGGCCCGCCACGUGUGGCGGGAAGGAGAGUACCCGCAGAAAAAGAAUCGGCGUACUCCGUGCCAGCAGCCGCGGUAAUACGGAGGAUGCGAGCGUUAUCCGGAUUUAUUGGGUUUAAAGGGUGCGUAGGCGGAAGGUUAAGUCAGCGGUAAAAUGUCGGUGCUCAACACCGGCCUGCCGGUGAAACUGGUCUUCUUGAGUGAGCGAGAGGUAUGCGGAAUGCGUGGUGUAGCGGUGAAAUGCAUAGAUAUCACGCAGAACUCCGAUUGCGAAGGCAGCAUACCGGCGCUCAACUGACGCUGAGGCACGAAAGCGUGGGGAUCGAACAGGAUUAGAUACCCCUGUAGUC